AUCCGGCUGAUGAGUCCUAAAUAAGAUGAAACGCGUGUCUUGGAU
rnacentral:hammerhead_ribozyme from 1 species